AGACAACUUUUGACGGUGGAUCUCUUGGCUCACGCAUCGAUGAAGAACGCAGCCAGCUGCGAUAAGUAGUGUGAAUUGCAGAAUUCAGUGGAUCAUCGAAUCUUUGAACGCAAAUGGCGCUCUUGGGUUCUCCCAGGAGCAUGUCUGUCUGAGUGUCG
rnacentral:rRNA from 1 species